AAUGUUUUAUUCUCACUGAGGAAAAAUAUACUUAUCUAGAACGGAACCACAGAUAAAUGUCAUAGCAACAGCAAUUAAUUUAGUUUCGAGAUGAGCAAAGGGGUACAUUACAAAGCAGGAGAGAUUAGAUAGCCAGCUAACUUGCCUAAAUAUUGUGAAAUAACUUUUUUAUUUGGGGGGAAAUAUAAACUUGAAAUGGGUAUGGUCUAAUUCAGUCAACAACCAAAAACACAUAUCUAAUUCUAGAUGUCUUAAUGAAUCAGAACAGCGAUAGUUAUAUCUGGUUGCUUAUUGAUGUCAGCUGAAUAUCUCAUCCUGAGUAUAACCUCUCGGUCACGGACUACGUAGUGAAGGACAACGCAGUCGCAGAUAACUGCUGUCACAGACAACGCAGUGAAGGACAACGCAGACACAGAUAAAUGCUGUCACGGACUACGCAGUGAAGGACAACGAAGACACAGAUAAAUGCUGUCACAGACAACGCAGACACAGAUAAAUGCUGUCACGGACUACGCAGUGAAGGACAACGCAGUCACAGAUAAAUGCUGUCACAGACAACGCAGUCACGGAUAAAUGCUGUCACAGACAACGCAGUGAAGGACAACGCAGACACAGGUAAAUGCUGUCACGGACUAUGCAGUGAAGGACAACGCAGACACAGAUAAAUGCUGUCACGGACUACGCAGUGAAGGACAACGCAGACACAGAUAAAUGCUGUCACAGACAACGCAGUCACGGAUAAAUGCUGUCACAGACUACGCAGUGAAGGACAACGCAGACACAGAUAAAUGCUGUCACGGACUACGCAGUGAAGGACAACGCAGACACAGGUAAAUGCUGUCACAGACAACUCACUCAUGGUAAAUGCUGCAUAUGUCGGCCUUAACCGAAAAUGUUCUUAAAUGGCACAUUGUUGACAAAGUGCAAUUGGAUUGAAUCCCAGCCAUUUUUAUCAACUAAGAUAUC